ensembl:lncRNA
AAUGCACUUUAUAUAGGGAUCAGUGCUUCAUACGUUACUCGUUUACAGUGGCGUGUCCAGCGGAGUGGCCUUGGGGGGCAGAGGCCACCCCCCCAACCAGACUGGCCACCCCAGGUGCCACCCCGAAGCUAAAACAAUAAAAUUUAAUGAAAUAUCAAAUGUACGAUUAUGGCUUCACAGUGAAGCUCAGAUGUCUGAGGGUAAGUGAAUGCAGCACCGGCUUCUGCACUAUGAGCAUCAUGUUAGCAAAGGUAGGAGAGCCAAGUACGAAAGACGGCACCACAGAAAACGUUUUUUCAGCGAAAGAUUAACAAGUUAACAUAGCUGGACUAGCCAUCGGACAUUUGCACAGUGGGCUGAUGACUUAUUUAUUUUUUUUGUAACGGCAUGAACAAUGAGAGGUGGUGGAUUGGCCAGAUGCUGGCCGAUGUGUAAAAAUAACUCAGUUGUUUGGUGGUGGCUAUGGCGGGGCUUCCACAGAGGCAACAGGUGGAUGAGGGAAGGGGAGGCAGGAGGAGCAGAGACCCGAGGCGGCCGCCGGUUCGAGUAUCAGGUGAACUGAACUUGAGAGAAACCAAAUCCUGCGUCUUUGCCUUGACAGACGCCUAAAAUGGCUCGAGCUGUGGCAAAGGAGAAGCUCCCACACUCAUCCAGUGGAGACCGUUGUGCUCUGGACAAUGAAGUUCCCGCUUUCAUGUUCAGACCUAUCAGUGCACCUGCAUGUGAGCUCCCAAGUCCACCACCUGCUGAUGCCAGCUUUCAUUCAAAGGACACAAACAAGAUCAUUC